rfam:Phaseolus vulgaris cultivar G19833 chromosome 2, whole genome shotgun sequence.
UUCACAGAGCCUGUUUGGCCUACUGGCCACCUCCAAUUGUCACCAUUUUGAGUGAUUCCAAACAUUCCAUUUAAUGGAGGUGGACAGAAUGCCAAAAUGGCUAUGGAAC